AUGGCCUCAUCCGCCGCCACCUCCUCCCCUCUCUCCGGCCAGAUCACCGAGCGCCUUACCCGCACCAACUAUGUUCUUUGGCGCACUCAGAUCACGCCGCAGCUGAGAGGAGCUGGAGUCUUCGGGUACGUCGACGGAAGCAUGGCGGAGCCGGCCGAGUUCGUCGUCGGCAAGGACAAGGAUGGAAAGGAGGCAACCAUCCCCAACCCACUCCAUGCCGUCUGGUUCCGCGAGGAUCAGCAGGUACUUGGUUAUCUCUUGAAUAACCUAUCCAAAGAGGUGCUAGUGCAGGUCACCUCCAUCGCGCACGCACGCGAACUCUGGACGGCGCUGGCGAGCAUGUUCUCAUCCACGUCGCUGUCCCGUGUCAACAACAUCCGCGCCGCCCUCACCAAUGCGCAGAAAGGAACGCAAUCGGUGGCCACCUUCUUCGCGUACAUGCGGGGACUCGCCGACGAGCUCGCCGCGGCUGGCAAGCCGUUGAAGGAUGAUGAGUUAAUCUCGUAUAUUCUCAACGUGCUUGACAUGGAGUACCAGCCCUUGGUGUCCGCCCUCGACGCCCGCACCACCCCGGUCACUCUCGACGAGCUGUUCGGGCAGAUGAGCAACUUCGACCAGCGGGUGGCUCUGUUCCAGGGAGCAGGCGCGGCGGGCGGCUUCAAGUCGUCAGCGAACGCUGCCACGCGCGGCCGGGGCGGAGGCUCCCGCUACCGCGGCCCACCUCGGAGUGGCAAGGGCCGGGGCUCCGGCAACGAAAACAACAGCGGCGCCAACAACACACGAGGCGGCCGGCCUUUCUGCUCCAACAAUCGAGGCUGGCGCGACAACUCCUCCAACAACAGAUCACGCCCUGAUGCAAUCAGGUGCCAAAUCUGUGGCAAGCCGGGACACUCGGCAAAAGAUUGUUGGUACCGUUUUGAAGAAGACGAAGAUGAUUCCUCACAAGAUGAGAAGGUGGCCGGAGCUGCUGAUGGCUCCUACGGCGUCGACACCAAUUGGUACGUCGACAGCGGUGCCACAAACCACAUCACCGGUGAGCUGGAGAAGGUGACCAUGCGCGACAAGUACCGUGGCAAAGAUCACAUCCACACAGCAAGUGGAGAAGAUGAGAACAACGCAGAAAACGGUGCAGGACACGCUCAAAAUGGCGAAGAAAAUCUGCUUACAACGCCAUAUUUCAUGUGUCCAGGGCUGAGGGACAAAUCCUCCUCGGGAUCAGCUCCACCGCAGCCUGACAGCGGAUCCUCCUCGGGAUCAGGGUCGCCCGGGAGCAGCGCCGCGCGGAAACCCGCGUCGCCCGCCAGCCAGCCGAGCAGUGGCCCCGCGCUUGCCACUCGGCGCCUCGCCACGGGCCAGGGCGAUUUGGCCCGCCUCCACCACUCGGAUGCCCCCAUGCGGCAGCCCGAGAUUCGCUGGGCUCAUGAUGGGCCCCGCCACUACGUCCGCCGCCAGCCCACAGGCAGGGACCGCCAGGACCGCCAGGAGCCAGGUGUAGGCGCUGGUCCCACCGCAGAUCCGGCCCUGUCAGCCUCUGUCGUUGGCGCGCGAUCCGGCGCGGGCCCGCCUGGAUUCGCCUCAUCAUUGCGCCAUGAUGGGUCUGCGCUAGAUGUCUCCCACGGCACAGGAUUCUGUGCGCCUGAUUCCGCCGCGUCUCCACCGUCUCCAAACCGCGUUGGCACAGAGGAUCCUGCUGGCAGCGAGGCGGGGAUUCUCACAGGAUCUUCUGACGCCGCCGUCCCAGGAUUUUCUGCAUCACCACCGGCUGCUGCUGUUCCACGGACACGUCUCCAAAAAGGGGUAAUAAAACCAGUUAAUUACAAACAACUGACAAAGUUCAGUUUAAUGUGCUCCACAGAUGAACCAAGUACUCUUGGCGAGGCACUCAGCGACAAAAAUUGGAAGGCAGCCAUGGAGGAAGAACACAUGGCACUUCUCAAAAACAAAACGUGGCAUCUGGUUCCGCCACGACACGGUAAAAAUUUGAUUGAUUGCAAGUGGGUAUUUAGAAUUAAAAGGAAGGCUGAUGGAACCAUUGAUCGCUACAAAGCCAGACUAGUUGCAAAGGGUUUUAAACAACGGUACGAUAUAGACUAUGAGGACACCUUUAGUCCAGUUGUUAAAGCUACAACUAUUCGUCUUGUGCUCUCUAUUGCUGUUUCCAGGGGAUGGAGCCUUCGCCAGCUAGAUGUCAAGAAUGCGUUUCUUUAUGGUGUUCUGGAAGAGGAAGUAUAUAUGAAACAACCUCCUGGUUUUGAAAACAAGAAUAAGCCGUUCCAUGUGUGCAAGCUUGAUAAAGCAUUAUAUGGACUCAAACAAGCUCAUAGGGCAUGGUAUUCCAGAUUAAGCCACAAAUUGCAAACUCUUGGUUUUGUUCCUUCUAAGUCUGACACAUCCUUGUUCAUUUACAACAAGUUGAAAACAACAAUAUUUGUUCUUAUAUAUGUUGAUGAUAUUAUUGUCACAAGCUCAUCUAAUGAGGCUAUAUCAGGAAUGUUGAAGGAUUUAAAUGCUGAGUUUGCUCUCAAGGAUCUGGGUGACUUGCACUUCUUCCUAGGGAUUGAAGUCAAGAAACAAGGAAAUAGUCUUCAUCUUUCUCAGGAAAAGUAUGCCACUGAUCUGGUAAGAAGAGUUGGGUUACAAGGAUGUAAAUCCUCACCAACUCCACUGUCCAGCAUAGAAAAAUUGUCACUUACAGAAGGAAAGCCCUUGGGUCAAGAUGACAGUACCAGGUACAGGAGCUUGGUAGGUGCACUUCAGUAUCUGACUUUGACAAGACCUGAUCUUUCAUUUGCAGUAAACAAGGUUUGUCAGUUUCUUCAUGCACCCACUAUAACUCAUUGGACAGCUGCUAAACGCAUAGUGAGAUAUGUGAAGGACACAGUUAAUCUAGGCCUCACUUUCAACAAGUCUUCAUCUACACUUGUUAGUGCAUUCUCUGAUUCUGACUGGGCAGGGUGUUUAGAUGACAGACGAUCUACUGGUGGUUUUGCAGUAUUCUUUGGUCCAAACUUAAUAUCAUGGUGUGCAAAGAAACAAGCCACUGUAUCAAGAUCCAGUACUGAAGCUGAGUACAAGGCUUUGGCCAAUGCCACAGCUGAAAUUAUUUGGGUCCAGUCCAUGCUACGAGAGCUUGGUGUGAAGACUACCCAAGCUCCAUGUUUAUGGUGUGAUAAUCUUGGUGCUACUUACCUGUCUGCUAACCCUGUGUUUCAUGCAAGGACGAAACAUAUUGAGAUUGAUUUCCAUUUUGUUAGAGAACGAGUUGCAAACAAGCAGUUGGAAAUUCGGUUCAUUCAUUCUCGUGAUCAGGUUGCAGAUGGAUUCACCAAAGCUUUGCCCACACAAAAUUUGAAGAGUUCAAGCGUAAUCUCAACUUGA
rnacentral:rRNA from 1 species